CUAAGAGAUACAAGAGAGGAAACAGAACUGAGUCCCUGGUACUGCUUUCCCUGUUGGGAGGUGCAGAUGAAAUGAAAAGCCAAGGUACUUUCCUUCGUUAUUUGGUAUGGUGAUGGAGAGAGAAAAUUAGAAGCCUGUGACUCAUCUUAGUCUGCCAUCAUUCAGAGAUUUUUCAUUUGCAAUUAGUGAGUACCUCUUGUUGGAAAGAGUUUUGCUUUUGUUGUAAUCAUUUUGCUUUCAGAUUUCUGUAGGUUAGAAAUGUAGUGACAACAUUUAGCUCUAAU
rnacentral:lncRNA from 1 species